rnacentral:rRNA from 1 species
UACGGAGGGUGCAAACGUUGCUCGGAAUCAUUGGGCGUAAAGCGCACGUAGGCGGCGCGUUAAGUCGGGUGUGAAAGCCCUGGGCUCAACCCAGGAAGUGCAUUCGAAACUGGCGCGCUUGAAUAUGGAAGAGGGUCGUGGAAUUCCCGGUGUAGAGGUGAAAUUCGUAGAUAUCGGGAGGAACACCAGUGGCGAAGGCGGCGACCUGGGCCAAUAUUGACGCUGAGGUGCGAAAGCGUGGGGAGCAAACAGG